rnacentral:rRNA from 1 species
AACGAACGCUGGCGCCAUGCCUAACACAUGCAAGUCGAACGAGACCUUCGGGUCUAGUGGCGCACGGGUGCGUAACGCGUGGGAACCUGCCCUUAGGUUCGGAAUAACUCCCCGAAAGGGGUGCUAAUACCGGAUAAUGUCUUCGGACCAAAGAUUUAUCGCCUUUGGAUGGGCCCGCGUUGGAUUAGCUAGUUGGUAGGGUAAAAGCCUACCAAGGCGACGAUCCAUAGCUGGUCUGAGAGGAUGAUCAGCCACACUGGGACUGAGACACGGCCCAGACUCCUACGGGAGGCAGCAGUGGGGAAUAUUGGACAAUGGGCGAAAGCCUGAUCCAGCAAUGCCGCGUGAGUGAUGAAGGCCUUAGGGUUGUAAAGCUCUUUUACCCGGGAUGAUAAUGACAGUACCGGGAGAAUAAGCGCCGGCUAACUCCGUG